rnacentral:rRNA from 1 species
GAACGCGUGUAGCGAUAAUAACGGUGCGCCGGUGUGAGUAACGCGUGGGAACCUGCCCUGGGGUGCGGGAUAACCCGGCGAAAGCCGGGCUAAUACCGCAUACGACCUAUGGGUGAAAGAUUUAUCGCCCUUGGAGGGGCCCGCGUCGGAUUAGCUAGUUGGUGAGGUAACGGCUCACCAAGGCGAUGAUCCGUAGCUGGUCUGAGAGGAUGAUCAGCCACACUGGGACUGAGACACGGCCCAGACUCCUACGGGAGGCAGCAGUGGGGAAUAUUGGACAAUGGGCGCAAGCCUGAUCCAGCAAUGCCGCGUGAGUGAUGAAGGCCUUAGGGUUGUAAAGCUCUUUCGCCCGCGACGAUGAUGACGGUAGCGGGAGAAGAAGCCCCGGCUAACUUCGUG